CGAGUAUAGAGCUGCAAAAUUUUUAAGCAGAUUUCUUGUAUCUCCUCUUCUGUUGUCCCAAAGAGUAAAAACCAAUGCGGACGAUUAGGAAGUGGAAUCUCCAACGUUCUAGCUGCAAGGUAUAUACAUGCACAGGCAAUGCUUUCUGGCUGAAAUCUUACAAAGACAUCUGUUCUCAGGCUAUCAUUCAUGUAAUUCCAUGAGGUCUGGACCAGGUGUUGGUUACGUUCACAUUCUAAUACCUGAAGGUACAUAACGAUUAUCUUAUGAGGAUGCUUUACAUGAACACAAAAUCCCAACUCCUUUAAAACUCUUCUUUCUGCCUUAAUAAUUUGGUUCUUCAAGUUCACGUAUUCUUGAUCCAGUAUUAGAGGUACAGGCUUUUUUUUCUCUCGCAGAUGUCGAAGCCGAUGGAACACAUUAAUCACAUCCCUGAUGCGUCUCGGAGCCUCCUCGAUUUUGGAUGCCAGAUGAACACAGGCCAUUG
rnacentral:lncRNA from 1 species